rnacentral:rRNA from 2 species
ACAUGCAAGUCGAACGAGAACGCUCUCUUCGGAGAGUUAUUAAAGUGGCGCACGGGUGAGUAACGCGUGGAUAAUCUACCAUCGAGUCUGGGACAACCCACCGAAAGGCGGGCUAAUACCGGAUAAGACCACAGUACUUUUGGUACAGAGGUCAAAGGCGGGGACCCUUCGGGGCCCGUUGCUUGAUGAUGAGUCCGCGUCCCAUCAGCUUGUUGGUAAGGUAAUGGCUUACCAAGGCUAAGACGGGUAGCUGGUCUGAGAGGACGAUCAGUCACACUGGCACUGGAAUACGGGCCAGACUCCUACGGGAGGCAGCAGUGGGGAAUAUUGCGCAAUGGGCGAAAGCCUGACGCAGCGACGCCGCGUGAGGGAAGAAGCCUUCUGGUCGUAAACCUCUGUCANGGGGGAAGAACGUUUGUACGGUUAAUACCCGUACUUGUUGACGGUACCCCCAGAAGAAGCAUCGGCUAACUACGUGCCACAGCCGCGGUAAUACCUAGGAUGCAAGCGUUGCUCGGAAUCACUGGGUGUAAA